rnacentral:rRNA from 1 species
CCCUUAGACGUUCUGGGCCGCACGCGCGCUACACUGACCAGUGCAACAAGCAUCCGUCCUUGGCCGACAGGCCCGGGCAAUCUUUGAACGCUGGUCGUGAUGGCGAUAGACUUUUGCAAUUUUUGGUCUUCAACGAGGAAUUCCUAGUAAACGCAAGUCAUCAACUUGCAUUGAUUACGUCCCUGCCCUUUGUACACACCGCCCGUCGCACCUACCGAUUGAAUGGUCCGGUGAAGCCUCCGGAUUGGCGCGCACCUCGGUGCCGCCGAGAAGUUGGCUAAACCUUACCAUUUAGAGGAAGGUGAAGUCGUAACA